UACGUAGGGGGCGAGCGUUGUCCGGAUUCAUUGGGCGUAAAGAGCUCGUAGGCGGUUCGGUAAGUCGGGUGUGAAAUCUCCGUGCUCAACACGGAGCGGCCACCUGAUACUGCCGUGACUCGAGUCCGGUAGGGGAGUGUGGAAUUCCCGGUGUAGCGGUGAAAUGCGCAGAUAUCGGGAGGAACACCAGUAGCGAAGGCGGCUUCCUGGCCAUAUCCUGACGCUGAGGUGCGAAAGCUAGGGGAGCGAACGGG
rnacentral:rRNA from 1 species